GAGCGGAUGAAGAGAGCUUGCUUUCUGAUUCAGCGGCGGACGGGUGAGUAAUGCCUAGGAAUCUGCCUGGUAGUGGGGGACAACGUUUCGAAAGGAACGCUAAUACCGCAUACGUCCUACGGGAGAAAGCAGGGGACCUUCGGGCCUUGCGCUAUCAGAUGAGCCUAGGUCGGAUUAGCUAGUUGGUGAGGUAAUGGCUCACCAAGGCGACGAUCCGUAACUGGUCUGAGAGGAUGAUCAGUCACACUGGAACUGAGACACGGUCCAGACUCCUACGGGAGGCAGCAGUGGGGAAUAUUGGACAAUGGGCGAAAGCCUGAUCCAGCCAUGCCGCGUGUGUGAAGAAGGUCUUCGGAUUGUAAAGCACUUUAAGUUGGGAGGAAGGGUUGUAGAUUAAUACUCUGCAAUUUUGACGUUACCGACAGAAUAAGCACCGGCUAACUCUGUG
rnacentral:rRNA from 1 species